CACGUAGGGCGCAAGCGUUGUCCGGAAUUAUUGGGCGUAAAGAGCUCGUAGGCGGUCUGUUGCGUCCGCUGUGAAAACCCAGGGCUUAACCCUGGGCUGGCAGUGGAUACGGACAGACUAGAGGUAGGUAGGGGAGAAUGGAAUUCCCGGUGUAGCGGUGAAAUGCGCAGAUAUCAGGAGGAACACCGGUGGCGAAGGCGGGUCUCUGGGCAGUAACUGACGCUGAGGAGCGAAAGCGUGGGGAGCGAACAGG
rnacentral:rRNA from 1 species